UGAAUACGAGACGCUACGGCGUCGAAGCAGUCUAUGUCAUACUUCCAAGAAAAGCUCGCAAUGUCAUAAACAAAUAAUGCCUGUACCAUAACCGACACAGGUGGGUAGGUAGAGUAUACUAAGGGGCGCGAGAUAACUCUCUCUAAGGAACUCGGCAAAAUGACUCCGUAACUUCGGGAGAAGGAGUGCCUUAUUUAUAAGGUUGCAAUAACAAGAUCCAAGCAACUGUUUAUCAAAAACACAGGUCUCCGCUAAGUCGUAAGACGAUGUAUGGGGGCUGACGCCUGCCCAGUGCCAGAAGGUUAAAGAAGUUGGUUAGCAUUCGCGAAGCUGAUAACUGAAGCCCUGGUGAACGGCGGCCGUAACAAUAACGGUCCUAAGGUAGCGAAAUUCCUUGUCGGGUAAGUUCCGACCCGCACGAAAGGCGUAAUGAUUUGGAUACUGUCUCGGAGAGGGGCUCGGUGAAAUAGACUUGUCUGUGAAGAUGCGGACUACCUGCACCUGGACAGAAAGACCCUAUGAAGCUUUACUGUAACUUGAAAUUGAAAUUGGACUUUAUUUGCGCAGCAUAGGUGGGAGGCGUUGAGAGUAUUCUUGCGGGAAUAUUGGAGCCAUCAGUGAGAUACCACUCUUGUAAUGUUAGAUUUCUAACUUUGGAUCAUUAUCUGGUCAAAGAACAGUUUCAGGCGGGCAGUUUGACUGGGGCGGUCGCCUCCCAAAUGGUAACGGAGGCGUACAAAGGUUUCCUCUGAACGGGUAGAAAUCGUAUCUAGAGUGUAAAGGCAUAAGGAAGCUUGACUGUGAGACCUACAAGUCGAGCAGGGACGAAAGUCGGUCUUAGUGAUCUGACGGUGCUGAGUGGAAAGGCCGUCACUCAACGGAUAAAAGUUACUCUAGGAUAACAGGCUGAUCUCCCCCAAGAGUUCACAUCGACGGGGAGGUUUGGCACCUCGAUGUCGGCUCAUCGCAUCCUGGGGCGGUAGUACGUCCCAAGGGUUGGGCUGUUCGCCCAUGAAAGCGGUACGCGAGCUGGGUUCAGAACGUCGUGAGACAGUUCGGUCCAUAUCCGGUGUAGGCGUUAGAAUAUUGAGAGGAGCCUUCUUUAGUACGAGAGGACCGAGAAGGACAUACCUCUGGUGUACCAGUUAUCGUGCCAACGGUAAACGCUGGGUAGCUAUGUAUGGAGAGGAUAACCGCUGAAAGCAUCUAAGUGGGAAGCCCACCUCAAGAUAAGUAUUCUCAC
rnacentral:rRNA from 1 species